rnacentral:ncRNA from 1 species
CACCACCAGUCACUACUACUUAUUGGAUGAUUUAGUGAGGUGCUCAGAUUGGCCUUGCUGGGGUUGGUCAUGGCCCUAGUGGAGCACCAACAAGGCAGUUGAACUUGACUAUCUAGAGGAAGUAAAAGUUGUAACAAGAUUUCUGUAGGUGAACCUGUGGAAG